GUUUUCCCCGGCAGGAGGGGCCCCCCGCUCUCGCGCGUGAGUUCCUUAAAUGACUCGGCGGCGCUUUCCGGAAAACCAAAGUUUUUCGGUUCCGGGGGAAGUAUGGUUGCAAAGCUGAAACUUAAAGGAAUUGACGGAGGGGCACCCCCAGGAGUGGACCCUGCGGCUUAUUUUGACUCAACACGAGAAAACUUCCCCGGCCUGGACACUGGAAGGAUUGACAGAUUGAGACCUCUUUCUUGAUUCAGGGGGGGGGGGUGCAUGGCCGUUCUUAGUUGGUGAAGCGAUUUGUCUGGUUAAUUCCAAUAACAAACGAAACUCUACCCUAUUAAAUAGGCUCCCGGUUUUUAAACCCCGGGAGGACUUCUUAAAGGGACAGGGGGGGGUUCACCCCCAAGAAAAACAAAAAUAACUGUCUGUACCCCCCUUUGUUGCCGGGCGCCCCCCCCCCCCAACACGAAAAAGAUCAGCGUGCUUUUUUUUCCUGCCCCGACCGAGAGAGGGAAACCCUGAGCACCUUCCGAGAGAGUGAGAUAAUAGAGUGUAUAUUUCUUCUUGAUGAACGAAUACUUCCUAGAUGAGGCGAAUCGUAUCGUGUUGAUUGAUUCCCUGCCUGUCUGUACGCACCACCGUCCGUCUACCUAUUGAUUGAUUCUAUGUAGUGAUGCAUCGGCACUGCCGACCUCUUCGUCUUGCCGCGGUCCGGGUGAAGCUGGACCGAUGUUCAUACUUGAACGAUAACAAGAACUAAAAUCGUACGAGUUACCUAGGGGACGAUGCAUGACGAUUACGGGCGAUUAAUCAUCUGCUAGAUAGUCGAUUCAUAUGACGCUAUCGUACGUGGUACG
rnacentral:rRNA from 1 species